AUUUAGGAAAAGGAUUUUAGUCCAAUUUUAAUUCUUUACGUAACAUCAAAUACACCUACAGACUUAAAAUUCACUCAAAUAAGGUACAGCCUAUUUGAAACAGGAUACAACCUCCUAUAGAGGGUAAUGCUCAAACAAAUGUGACAAAGUAGGCCUGAAAGCAGCCACCUUCUAAAAAGCGUUAAAGCCUUAUCACAUCCAACUACAAAUACCAACUUAAACCCAAAACCCCUUACCCCUACUAAAUGACUUCAUAUUUAUAUGAAAACCAUUAUGUUAGAACUAGUAACAAGAAUAUCUAUUCUCCUAAAAAUGUAAGUGUAGGUCGAAAUGGACUACCCAUCGACACUCACCGCUAAUGAGCCUAUAGUAAUAACUUCCCCAAGAAAAGUCUACUUUUUUCAGCGUUAACCUUACACAAGAACUUUUCUAGAAAGAUUAAAAAAAGAGGAAGGAACUCGGCAAACAUUAACCUCGCC
rnacentral:rRNA from 1 species